ACUUUGGAAAACACUGUCGAAUCAUCCAUAAUAGUAAACGACGCUAUAAACAAUUCACACGUCGCCUUAAUGUAAC